rnacentral:rRNA from 1 species
AGUGAACGCUGGCGGCAGGCCUAACACAUGCAAGUCGAGCGGAUGAGGGAAGCUUGCUUCCCGAUUUAGCGGCGGACGGGUGAGUAAUGCCUAGGAAUCUGCCUAUUAGUGGGGGAUAACGUUCCGAAAGGAACGCUAAUACCGCAUACGUCCUACGGGAGAAAGUGGGGGAUCUUCGGACCUCACGCUAAUAGAUGAGCCUAGGUCGGAUUAGCUAGUUGGUGAGGUAACGGCUCACCAAGGCGACGAUCCGUAGCUGGUCUGAGAGGAUGAUCAGCCACACUGGAACUGAGACACGGUCCAGACUCCUACGGGAGGCAGCAGUGGGGAAUAUUGGACAAUGGGCGAAAGCCUGAUCCAGCCAUGCCGCGUGUGUGAAGAAGGUCUUCGGAUUGUAAAGCACUUUAAGUUGGGAGGAAGAGUUGUAAGCUAAUAUCUUGCAGCUUUGACGUUACCAACAGAAUAAGCACCGGCUAACUCUGUGCCAGCAGCCGCUGUAACAC